rnacentral:rRNA from 1 species
UACGGGGGGAGCAAGCGUUGUUCGGAUUUACUGGGCGUAAAGGGCGCGUAGGCGGUCAGCACAAGUCAGUUGUGAAAUCUCCGGGCUUAACUCGGAACGGUCAACUGAUACUGUGCGACUAGAGUGCAGAAGGGGCAACUGGAAUUCUCGGUGUAGCGGUGAAAUGCGUAGAUAUCGAGAGGAACACCUGCGGCGAAGGCGGGUUGCUGGGCUGACACUGACGCUGAGGCGCGAAAGCCAGGGGAGCAAACGGG